CACGUAGGCGGAGAAGUAAGUGUCUUGUGAAAGCCCCCGGCUCAACCGGGGAAUUGCUCGGCAAACUACUUCUCUUGAGGCAGGCAGGGGUACAUGGAACUCUAGGUGGAGCGGUGAAAUGCGUAGAUAUCUAGAGGAACGCCCGUGGAGAAAUCGGUGUACUGGGCCUGAUCUGACGCUGAGGUGCGAAAGCGUGGGUAGCGAACAGGAUUAGAUACCCUGGUAGUCC
rnacentral:rRNA from 1 species